rnacentral:rRNA from 1 species
GUGAACGCUGGCGGUAGGCCUAACACAUGCAAGUCGAACGGCAGCACAGUAAGAGCUUGCUCUUACGGGUGGCGAGUGGCGGACGGGUGAGGAAUACAUCGGAAUCUACUUUUUCGUGGGGGAUAACGUAGGGAAACUUACGCUAAUACCGCAUACGACCUACGGGUGAAAGCAGGGGAUCUUCGGACCUUGCGCGAUUGAAUGAGCCGAUGUCGGAUUAGCUAGUUGGCGGGGUAAAGGCCCACCAAGGCGACGAUCCGUAGCCGGUCUGAGAGGAUGAUCAGCCACACUGGAACUGAGACACGGUCCAGACUCCUACGGGAGGCAGCAGUGGGGAAUAUUGGACAAUGGGCGCAAGCCUGACCCAGCCAUACCGCGUGGGUGAAGAAGGCCUUCGGGUUGUAAAGCCCUUUUGUUGGGAAAGAAAAGCAGCAGGUUAAUACCCCGCUGUUCUGACGGUACCCAAAGAAUAAGCACCGGCUAACUUCGUG